CCUACGGGAGGCAGCAGUGAGGAAUAUUGGUCAAUGGGCGCGAGCCUGAACCAGCAAAGCAGCGUGAAGGAUGACUGCCCUACGGGCUGUAAACUUCUUUUAUAAAGGAAUAAAGUGAGGCACGUGAGUCUUUUUGUAUGUACUUUAUGAAUAAGGAUAGGCUAACUCCGUGCCAGCAGCCGCGGUAAUACGGAGGAUCCGAGGGUAGUCCGGAUUUAUUGGGUUUAAAGGGAGCGUAGAUGGGUUGUUAAGUCAGUUGUGAAAGUUUGCGGCUCAACCGUAAAAUUGCAAUUGAUACUGGCAGUCUUGAGUACAGUUGAGGUAGGCGGAAUUCGUGGUGUAGCGGUGAAAUGCUUAGAUAUCACGAAGAACUCCGAUUGCGAAGGCAGCUUACUAAACUGCCACUGACAUUGAGGCUCGAAAGUGUGGGUAUCAAACAGGAUUAGAUACCCCAGUAGUC
rnacentral:rRNA from 1 species